UACGUCUGGAUCCCGGUGACCAGUUACCUCUGGUUCCAUCAGCAGUGCAGAAGAUCUGGGAAACAGUCCUGCAGUUAAA